CACAGCGGCGUGGGCCGGCCGCCGGGUGGGAUGAGAGGCCCGCGGACUCGGGCGUGGGGCCGCAUGGACACGCUGGUGCUGGGCCGGUGGCGACGGCGGAGGGCGGAGGAGCUUCAGGUUCCGGGGGACGCGAAACGGGCAUGCAGGAGAGGAGAGGCGGCCGGGCCGGAGUGGGCCUGCCCCCCCACAAACCUCAGCGCCCCGGUGUCCUGGAGUGGUGAGGGGCGGCCACGUGUCGGGAUUCCUCACAACGGUGGAGGGAGCUCGGCCCAGCCUUGCCCGAGAUGUAUUGCGGGGGAGUCUCUUCUCCGGGGCAAGAUGUCGGCUCAGGAACGCUGUCUCCUUCCAAGUGACACCGCUGUCGCAGACUGCCCUUCAGGGGUCAGAAGGAGGGCGGCAUGCGACUGAGCAUUUACCCCCAGUCAACGAAUGAGAAGUUCUGAGCCAGGAACCCAAGUCUGUGCGGGCCCUCCACCCGGGGCGCUCCCCCAGCCUCCUGGCCCGGACACCUGGGGACCCACACCAUCCCGCUCUGCCCAUACCUGCUGGAAGUCAGGCCGCAUGUUUCUCCCUGUCACCAAAGAAUUAAAGACAACAUCUUGGACGGUCUCUGUACAUGGAGAAAUGAGAAUGUAUUCGCAGACAAAGCGUGACCUGAGGGAGAAGCCUGCCGGAAUCUGGAUUUUCAAUAACAUAAGACAAUAAAGCUUAGACUUCUAACCUGCUGCAA